AAGAACGUCAAGGGCGAAGGCAGGCAUCUGGGGCAAUUCUGACACUGAUGAACGAAAGCUAGGGGAGCGAAAGGGAUUAGAGACCCCUGUAGUCCUAGCUGUAAACGAUCCUCGCUAGAUUCUGGUUUUAUCGGAGUCGUAAGCUAACGCGUUAAGCGAGGCGCCUGGGGAGUACGACCGCAAGGUUGAAACUCAAAGGAAUUGACGGGGACCCGCACAACCAGUGGAGCAUGUGGUUUAAUUCGAGACGAAGCGUUGAACCUUACCUGGACUCGACAUGUUAGCUGCGCUCCCGCCGAAAAGUGGGAUUCUUUCGAAGGUGCUAACAAAGCUGCUGCAUGGCUAUCGUAAGCUCGUACCGUAGGGUGUUCUCUUAAGUGAGAUAACGAGCGCAACCCUUGUCCCGUGUUACAUAUCACGGGAGACUGCUCCGGCAUUCGCCGGGGAGGAAGGAGAGGAUGACGUUAAGUCAGCACGGUGCUUAUGUCCAGGGCGACACACAUCCUACAAUCCCUGCAACAGCGAGUUGCAAAGCCGCGAGGCGGAGCUAAUCUCUUAAAGGCAGGGUCAGUUCAGAUUGCAGGCUGAAAUUCGCCUGCAUGAAGUUGGAAUUGGUAGUAAUCGCAGGUCAGCAGACUGCGGUGAAUACGUUCUCGGGUCUUGUACACACCGCCCAUCAAGCGAAGAAAGCCGGUAGUACCCGAACCCCGCCCUUGGCGGAGGAAGGUAAGAUCGGUGAUCAGCACUAAGUCGUAACAAGGUAACCGUA
rnacentral:rRNA from 1 species